rnacentral:rRNA from 1 species
AUUGAACGCUGGCGGCAGGCUUAACACAUGCAAGUCGAGCGGGGGAAGGUAGCUUGCCACCGGACCUAGCGGCGGACGGGUGAGUAAUGCUUAGGAAUCUGCCUAUUAGUGGGGGACAACAUCUCGAAAGGGAUGCUAAUACCGCAUACGUCCUACGGGAGAAAGCAGGGGAUCUUCGGACCUUGCGCUAAUAGAUGAGCCUAAGUCGGAUUAGCUAGUUGGUGGGGUAAAGGCCUACCAAGGCGACGAUCUGUAGCGGGUCUGAGAGGAUGAUCCGCCACACUGGGACUGAGACACGGCCCAGACUCCAACGGGAGGCAGCAGUGGGGAAUAUUGGACAAUGGGGGGAACCCUGAUCCAGCCAUGCCGCGUGUGUGAAGAAGGCCUUAUGGUUGUAAAGCACUUUAAGCGAGGAGGAGGCUACUCUAGUUAAUACCUAGGGAUAGUGGACGUUACUCGCAGAAUAAGCACCGGCUAACUCUGUGCCAGCCGCCGCAAUAA